rnacentral:rRNA from 1 species
AACGAACGCUGGCGGCGUGGAUAAGACAUGCAAGUCGAACGAGAGAAUUGCUAGCUUGCUAAUAAUUCUCUAGUGGCGCACGGGUGAGUAACACGUGAGUAACCUGCCCCCGAGAGCGGGAUAGCCCUGGGAAACUGGGAUUAAUACCGCAUAGUAUCGAAAGAUUAAAGCAGCAAUGCGCUUGGGGAUGGGCUCGCGGCCUAUUAGUUAGUCGGUGAGGUAACGGCUCACCAAGGCGAUGACGGGUAGCCGGUCUGAGAGGAUGUCCGGCCACGCUGGAACUGAGACACGGUCCAGACACCUACGGGUGGCAGCAGUCGAGAAUCAUUCACAAUGGGGGAAACCCUGAUGGUGCGACGCCGCGUGGGGGAAUGAAGGUCUUCGGAUUGUAAACCCCUGUCAUGUGGGAGCAAAUUAAAAAGAUAGUACCACAAGAGGAAGAGACGGCUAACUCUGUGCCAGCAGCCGCGGUAAUACAGAGGUCUCAAGCGUUGUUCGGAAUCACUGGGCGUAAAGCGUGCGUAGGCUGUUUCGUAAGUCGUGUGUGAAAGGCGCGGGCUCAACCCGCGGACGGCACAUGAUACUGCGAGACUAGAGUAAUGGAGGGGGAACCGGAAUUCUCGGUGUAGCAGUGAAAUGCGUAGAUAUCGAGAGGAACACUCGUGGCGAAGGCGGGUUCCUGGACAUUAACUGACGCUGAGGCACGAAGGCCAGGGGAGCGAAAGGGAUUAGAUACCCCUGUAGUCCUGGCAGUAAACGGUGCACGCUUGGUGUGCGGGGAAUCGACCCCCUGCGUGCCGGAGCUAACGCGUUAAGCGUGCCGCCUGGGGAGUACGGUCGCAAGAUUAAAACUCAAAGAAAUUGACGGGGACCCGCACAAGCGGUGGAGUAUGUGGCUUAAUUCGAUGCAACGCGAAGAACCUUACCUGGGCUUGACAUGUAAUGAACAACAUGUGAAAGCAUGCGACUCUUCGGAGGCGUUACACAGGUGCUGCAUGGCCGUCGUCAGCUCGUGUCGUGAGAUGUUUGGUUAAGUCCAGCAACGAGCGCAACCCCUGUUGCCAGUUACCAGCACGUGAAGGUGGGGACUCUGGCGAGACUGCCCAGAUCAACUGGGAGGAAGGUGGGGACGACGUCAGGUCAGUAUGGCCCUUAUGCCCAGGGCUGCACACGUACUACAAUGCCCAGUACAGAGGGGGCCGAAGCCGCGAGGCGGAGGAAAUCCUAAAAACUGGGCCCAGUUCGGACUGUAGGCUGCAACCCGCCUACACGAAGCCGGAAUCGCUAGUAAUGGCGCAUCAGCUACGGCGCCGUGAAUACGUUCCCGGGUCUUGUACACACCGCCCGUCACAUCAUGGAAGCCGGUCGCACCCGAAGUAUCUGAAGCCAACCGCAAGGAGGCAGGGUCCUAAGGUGAGACUGGUAACUGGGAUG